CCCACCUCCGGAUCGGUUCGAAUCUACGCCGGCACCAGCCCACCCCGUGCGCCGCCCAUUCCCACGUACGACGCGGAUGCAGCCUCACCCAAUUGCUGAUCUCCGCCGCCAGCUCAGGCCUUCGCCGGUGACUAUCCGUUCUCCCCCGUCAUCGAUCUUGCCAGUUGGAGCCCCGUCGGCAUCCGUCUUCCUCACCGUCGCGAAGUCGUGGUCCUCACGGACGUCAUCUUCACCGUCACCAAGUUGCAUCCAUGCCGGCGUCAUCCUGUACCCGAAGCUCCGCCGCAUGUUGUGUCGCUACACCGUCCACAAGCAGCUCUCGGCACCAUCCUACAUCUUCAGACUUCCGCCCCGUCAAGCAGGAUAAUGUAGAAGACUUGAGAGACGAGCUGAGUAUGAUGCAUUUGUUCAUGAAGCAAAAAUUCGUUGAAGAGAAAUGGACAAAUAAAAUUGUAACCGUGGGAAGUGAUGAAGUUGAUUUCAGCGGAAGAGUUGUUGGCAGUGACCUACCACAUGAAGAAUCAUAUGACAGUGUGCAUGCUCCACAGAAUGUUAUGCAGAUAUGCAAUAGUUUCUUCACUAGUAAGUUAGCGCCAGAUUUUUCUCAUAUUUAAAAACAAUUGUUCAUCAUAAGUUGCAGGAAUUGCAUCCUAGCAGUUGUGCGAGAACCAAAGAGGGUCACACCAGAUCAUCUUUAAGACAUGAACACAUCGUUGCUAAGAUGCGCACAUUGAAAAGUUUGAUAGGGCUAGUCAAGGUGCAGAAUCAACUUUACCAAGAUGAGCAGUUAACUAGCCAGUUUUUUAGGUCAAAAUACCUAAGACAAUCGCUCCAACAACACCACAAAAGAUUCGUACUCCAACAUGACCACAAGACAUUGAUGUGGGUAUGCUAAGGCUUUAGAGGUGUGCAUUGCAGGAUCCAGGAGCAGCUGCAGAUGGAUUAGUUUUUAAAUGAACAAACAUAUCGAAUUAUGUAUAGAUUUUAGCUUCAUAGGAAAACUUAGUUCUAGUAUGUAGGAAUUUUUCUUAAUUAAUUAUUUUUAUUUUUCAUAUGAAUUUCUGAUUUGAUUCAGUUGUGA